AGGGAUAAUAUAACAGCAAUAACAAUGUUAAGAAGGAUUUGUUACUUAGACAUGUUAAUGUACAAAAAAUUCAAUUUAACAUAUGCAUGUAAUGCACAAUGGUUCCAUGAAUUGUAGACACGUUGUGCAUGACAUAAAUAACCACGAUAACUCUCAAAUAAUGUUUCCAAAUGCAGCUUCAGAAGUUAGAAAAGUAGACCCUGAUUAUGUCGAGGGACAGUACCAAACCUUUUUCAGCGAUGGUUAUCCGUUCUUAAUCGCAUCUCAGGUCAGUCCAGUUGCAGUUGCGAAACAAAGUCGAAACUACUUAUAUAAGUCCUUACUUUUUAUUUGCCAUUUAUUACUUUCAGGAAUCAUUGGAUGCACUAAACGAGCUUCUAGAGGAACCGAUACUUAUGAAUCGUUUCAGACCCAAGUAUUAAUUUUUUCAAGCCUGUGUCUAGUGUUUCAUAGUAUUUGUUACUAGUUUAGAUCACGCAAUUGAGAUUUUGGUGCCACGUGGUGCAGUAUCCUUGUUGAAGGUUGUGAACCGUACUCUGAAGAUCUAUGGAGAGAUUUCAAGAUAAGCAGCUUCUCAUUUCAGGGUGCCAAGCUGUGUUACCGUUGUAAGGUGAAAAAUUCUACUUUAUAAUCUCCUAGAUAUCCAUAUUCAAAAAGCGAGCUGAACCAACCAGUUCAACCUAUUGAACCAGGAACCGUUCAAUUGACUGGUUUGUUUGAUCUCAGUUAAAUUUAUCUGAGAAUACAUGCCAAUAGCAUUUAUCUAAUGUGCAUUAUUGAUGAUGCUUAUUAUGGUAAGAUUCCAACAAUCAAUCAAGAGACAGCAAAAGUUGGACCUGAACCAAAUGAAACUCUCAUGAAAUAUAGGUCUGGCCAAAUCAUAAGACCAAAUGAUAAAAACAAAAAGAGGGUGAGACAUUCAUUCAUCAAACUUUCAAUUAAAAUGUCCCUUUUGUAUAUUAAUGUCAAGUGACAUAUGAAAUGCUUGUGAUGCAGGUCUACUUUGGUCAUGAUAUAGUGUGGAACUGGAUGGAAUCUUCUGCUAAGGAGGAUGGAAAAGUCCUUAAAUUGGGAGAUCCUGUUUAUGUUAUAAAAAAAUUCUCUUCUCCAGCAGAAGCAGCUGCUUAAAAGGCUAUAAUGACUUAAACUUUUAUCAAAAAUUAGUACCAGUGGCUAUAUUGAAAUUAAGUGAUUAUUACAUGGUUGCUGAACUUUGCUUUGAGCUGUUGCAACUUGUAGAUUGUAAUGCAUCUAUUAUGCCUUGUAUCCAAAUAAUCACAUGAAAAUAAGGAUUGUGCAAAAACUAAAAAAUACCUUUCAUUUGUUUUAUAUUUUCUUUUUGUUCAUCGUUUUUAUACUUUUUGUCCAAUUAUUUUACACAUGCAUUUAAAGAUGUGUUGUCACAUUUAAUGAAUAUGAUUAUAUUAAUUAAUUGAUGUGACAACAUAUGUAUUUGUAAAAUAAUCGUACAUUGAAAGAGCAUAUUAAUUAAACUAUUUCAAAAAUAAGAGGAGAGAUUUCAUAAAUAUAUAUUCUUAUCAUAGCAUUUGGAACAUGUUCAACAAAAAUUGAGAACAAAUUUGUUGGUCAAAUUACCUUUACAUGUUAAUCAAUUUUUUUCUUAAGUUAUUUAAUUACAACAUAAUAAAUUUCAGCAUUUGGAUGGAGUGUAGGAAUUUGAAAUUUUAUAGAGAACUCUAAUUAAGUAAUCUUCUCUGCAUAAAUAAAUUCAAUAACAAACAUUAAAUAGUUGGUACUUGAGUUUGGAAGGGUUAAUCAGCAAGUUUUUGCGCCAAACAGAUCAUGUCAAUAUCUUAUCAUGCGUAUGAAUCGGAUCCUUAGAGAGUUUGUAGAGGUGAAAUAUAUCUAAUCAUUAAUGUUAUUGUGAUGUGUGACGUGGCUCCUAGUGAGUCAGCUAUUUAUUCCAUUAGCAUUGCAGGGAUUAUCCUUUUUUAUGUAACAACAAAGAGAAAGAGAUAGCAAGAAAGAAGAAUAAUAUUAAUGGGUGCUGCAUCAUCAAGUUCAACAACAUCUGAGACAGAGUCAUCAACAACACCUGAUGCUAAGGUUACAGGCCUUUUCAUAUAUCCUGUUAAGUCAUGCCGUGGAAUUCCUCUUUCUAAUGCUCCACUCACACCUUCUGGUACCACAUAUAUUCCUUCUUGUAUUAUUUAUUUUUUGAAAACUUGGACCGACUAAUCCGAGGGGUCCAAUCCAAAUGUUUACUUGAUAGGAUUUCGAUGGGAUCGACAGUGGAUGGUUGUCAAUUCAAAAGGGAGGGCAUGCACUAUAAGAGUUGAACCAAGGUUUGCUUUGAUUGAUGUUGAACUACCACCUGAGGCAUUUCUUCAACACUGGGAACCAACCACUGAUUCCUUUAUGGGUAUAUUUCAUUUUUCAUAAGCUCCUUCAAAACAUAUCAUACCUUUUUAUUUAUUGAUUUUAUUUGUUUUCAUAUGGUAAAAUACUACGGUGACAUUUUAUAUGCUGAGGUCCGGGUUUAAACUCAUAGUUUUUCACUUCUCAACAUUUAGUGUGAGUUUCACUGUUAGGUCUUUAUAAUCAAAAAACAAAAAUGAUGUGAUGUGUUUCGGAAAAUAUUCAAGUCUCGGAUAGAAUAAAGAUAAGGUCUGAAAUAUGUUUAUAAAGAGUGACAACCUUCCCCUUAUAAGUCGGUUUUGUAAGAAUGAAUUAGUCCCAAUAUAAAAUCUUAAUAGUGUGAGCUGUGACUAGUUUUGUUCCUUAAGCAAGUGGUUGUAGGUUUGAUUUCUAACUCAUGCAUAUAAAUUCACUCUUUGAUAGAUUAAAUCUUUAAAUGUAUCCAGAUUUGAAAGGGUUUAGUCUUCAUAGUUGCGUGCAGAGAGUACUCUUGGUAGUAUUGAACAUCGUGAAAUUAAUGAUGCCACUUGUGCAAUGCCAUGGAACAUGUCAUGUAUUAGGGGUAGGGGCGACAAGGGAGACUGUAGGAGGAGAUGAAGGUGUUUUUUUUCGUAACCAAUUUAUUGAUGCGAAAUAUCCAUAGGCUAGCUAGUCACUUUUAGUUAGGUCUACCUGCCCAACCACGUUUUUUCCAUCUAUAUUUGCGCAGUCUAGUCUUUUUCUAAAGGGAAAAAACUGCAGUAUAUGGUGUGCUGGUAUAAUCACAUUUGAUUAUAAGGUAUAUCCUUUCAGGGUAGGGCGGGCUAUAUGGUGAGCUGGUAUCUAUGCUUAUCAUAAAUGGAAUGUAAACUCUUUUUUGAUAUCUAAGAGAUUUGAGCUACUAUCAAAUACAUCAAAUGCUUGCAUAAACCGCACAGCAUGAUAGAAAACAACUUCCACCUCUGUAUUUAUCAAAACCUUCAUAAAUAAAAAAUCAUCAAAGUCAAAUUUGAUAUAAAGCAAAAUAAGUGACUCGUCAACUUCUCGUGAACAACACGAAAAACGUUGCUUGUUAUAUAAGAAUGUAGAAGCCUUACAAGGCAGGACUAAGUGAUUUAUUGUUUCUGAACUAGAAGUGUACAAUACAUUACAAAUUAAGAAGCAAAACAAAAGUGGUAAGAUAUAUGGAUCUUAUGGCAUAAACAUGUAAGCAAGUGUUUGAUUUUUUUUUUUAAUCAGCAAAUAUUAUUAAGCAAGUAUGCACAAAACCCGAAAAGGAGGAAAAAGAGUACAAGCAAGAGGGCCUUAUAACAGCUGACGCCUCCACACCAAAAGAACACUCGAUAAAAAAACCCCUAAAUACCGGAAACGAAACAGAACCGGUACUAACACUUACAAACCUUUUGCCACAGCACUAAACAAACGGCAAAACAGGCAUUACGUACAGUCCUAAAAAACAUACUAACACAGCCCGCUAAGGACAAACAGCAGCAAGCACAAAAAGAACAGGACCACUAUCGCUGCUCCCUACCUCCAAAGCACAAAAAGCUGCAACAGGACACCCACCAGCGGAGCACCAAGCAGACAGACCACAGCCAGCAAACCAAGAGCACACAGGCAGGCCGAAAACCACAAAACCAGCAAAACUGUGAUGCUUAAAAACAGAAAAACUGUCAGCAGAUCCAAAAAAACUGACAGCCCACCAAAACUCAUCUCAAGAGGCACUCCCGUGGACACCAACUCCACUCAUAGAACAUACAAGUCGGAUUAUUAAGUCUUCCUCCACAAGCUCCUUCACAAGUGUUUGAUUGAGUUUAUGAAAUAGCUUACAGCCAAUCUAUAACUUCUUCUGAGCUUAUUUUUAUAAGCUAUUAAGAUAAAAUUAUGCAAAACAACUUAUGUGGAAGGGCUUAUUGCUUUAAACUCUUAUGUGAUAAGUUGUUUUUGAAUAAAUAUUUAAUUAAGCCAUUUGCAAAUGCAUAUUCAGUUCAAACAAGCUUGACCUCCAAAGUAUCAUCCCUUACUGUUUUCUGAAUUAAGGAUGAGACUGAGUUCGAAUCCCUAUCGGAAAUGUAUUGCUAAGUCUGCCCCCUCCCCCUAAAUAAAAAAAUAAUAGUCCCCCUCCCCUAUUUAUUUAACAAAAAACAUGUGAACCCUUUGACUUGAUUUACAUGCUUAUACUUGUGUUUUCUAGGUUAUUUGCCAAGUAUCCUCGUUAACACUUAUGAAAAAACUUUGAGGGGAAUUUGUGAAAUUUUGUGUAGUAUAUUCAAUUCCUCUCUUCUUGUUUAUGGAAGCCAUUGAUAAAUGUCUGUUAUAUAAUGGACAUCAAUGUUGUCUUUUUCCGUCCUAUUUGAUAUCUGAAGUAGUUAGGACAUGAUUUUUUAUAUAAGUUUCUGCCUUUUAUUCCGCAUUCUGUGUUCAUAUUUCAUUUUUAAUUUCACAGAAUCCUUCCUUCUGUUCUUAAUUUUUAUAAAAUAGAAAAAUUGCAGUAGUUAAAAGUUUAAACGCCAAUAGACUUUUGAAUGGCACAUUCUUCAUGAUCAUGAUUGCUUUUUCUUCUUCCUUUCUUUAGUUAAUGAAUGGAGUUUUUUUAUCUUCAUGUUACAGUGUUGAAAGCACCUGGGAUGGAACCUCUGAAAGUUUGUUUGAACAAACAGUAUGAAGUAGAAGAUGAUGUUACGGUGUGGGAAUGGACUGGCUCUGCCUGGGACGAGGGAGCUGAAGCAUCACAGUGGUUCUCAGAUUAUUUAGGAUAUCCUGCUAAACUGGUCCGCUUCAAUACUGGUAACGUCUUUGAAACCUUAAAGAAUACAAAAAUGAUGAUAACAAUGUUUAGAAGGAUUUGUUACUUUUAGACACAUAAAUGAUUGGUAAAGGACUAUAACGGCUUCAAGAAAACAUGAGUAUUACUAGGACUAACUUGUUGCUUUUAUAAUAAAUGUGUUUAAUAUGAUGUGAACAAAAUCAAUUUAACAUAUGCAUGUAAUGCACAAUGGUUCCAUGAACUGCGGUUGCAUUGUGCAUGAUAUAAAUGACCACGAUGACUCUCAAGUAAUGUUCCAAAUGCAGCUUCAGAAGUUAGAAAAGUAGACCCUGAUUAUGUCAAGGGACAGCACCAGACCUUUUUCAGCGAUGGUUAUCCGUUCUUACUCGUAUCUCAGGUCAGUCAAGUAGCAGUUGGGAAAUGAAGUCGAAAGUUUACUGAUUGAAAUCUUUACUUUUUGUUAUUUAUUGCUUUCAGGAUU
rnacentral:lncRNA from 1 species